rnacentral:rRNA from 1 species
UUCUGGUUGAUCCUGCCGGAGGUUAUUGCUAUCAGGGUUUGACUAAGCCAUGCGAGUCGAGAGGUGUAAGACCUCGGCAUACUGCUCAGUAACACAUGGAUAAUCUGCCCUUAGGUGGAGGAUAUCCCCGGGAAACUGGGACUAAUACUCCAUAGUGGAUAUAUGCUGGAAUGCUGUAUCCUCGAAAGAUUAAUCGCCUAAGGAUGAGUCUGUGCCCGAUUAGGUUGUUGGCGGGGCAACGGCCCACCAAGCCAUUGAUCGGUACGGGUUGUGGGAGCAAGAUCCCGGAGAUGGAUUCUGAGACAUGAAUCCAGGCCCUACGGGGCGCAGCAGGCGCGCAAACUUUACAAUGCGAGCAAUCGUGAUAAGGAAACCCUGAGUGCCUGUCGAUGCAGGCUGUUCAUAUAUCUAAAUCAUAUGUGAAGAAAGGGCAGGGCAAGACCGGUGCCAGCCGCCGCGGUAAUACCGGCUGCUCGAGUGAUAACCACUAUUACUGGGUUUAAAGCGUCCGUAGCUUGAUUGUUAGGUCUCUUGGGAAAUCUUCACGCUCAACGUGAAGGCGUCUAAGAGAUACCGGCAAUCUUGGAACUGGGAGAGGUAAACCGUACUUCGGGGGUAGGAGUGAAAUCUUGUAAUCCUCGAGGGACGACCUAUGGCGAAGGCAGUUUACCAGAACAGCUUCGACAGUGAGGGACGAAAGCUGGGGGAGCAAACGGGAUUAGAUACCCCGGUAGUCCCAGCCGUAAACAAUGUGCGUUAGGUCUGUCGGUAACCACGUGUUACUGAUGAGCCGAAGAGAAAUCGUGAAACGCACCACCUGGGAAGUACGGUCGCAAGGCUGAAACUUAAAGGAAUUGGCGGGA